rnacentral:rRNA from 1 species
AAUGAACGCUGGUGGCAGACCUAACACAUGCAAGUCGAACGGGGCUCAGAGAACAGAGGACUUGUCCAAAGUUUUCGAAAGCCUAGUGGCGGACGGGUGAGUAACACGUGAGCAACCUGCCUUGGACUGGGGAAUAACUGUGGGAAACCAUAGCUAAUACCGCAUAAAGUCACGAGAGGACAUCCUUUUGUGACCAAAGGAGCAAUCCGGUCUUAGAUGGGCUCGCGUCCGAUUAGAUCGUUGGUGAGGUAACGGCUCACCAAGUCUGCGAUCGGUAGCCGGACUGAGAGGUUGAACGGCCACAUUGGGGACUGAGACACGGGCCCAGACUCCUACGGGAGGCAGCAGUGGGGAAUAUUGGGCAAUGGGCGCAAGCCUGACCCAGCAAUGCCGCGUGAAGGACGAAGGUCUUCGGAUUGUAAAACUCUUUAGCAGGGAAAAAAGA